rnacentral:lncRNA from 1 species
GUUUGAGCCCUGCCCCAACUGGAGGCAGGAGCUGCCUUUUCUGAGCAGUUGAGAUGUACCUUAAGAUGAUCAGCACAGUCAACAGCAAUUCUUGCACACUUUUUGGCAUUCAUUAAAAAAAUUUCUUGAAGGUUUUUGAAAUUUGCCUUCUUUGUGAUGGCUCAUGAAGCGUAACUUCCACCCAAGCUCCCACAAGCACUUGGCAGCCUGGCAAGGACACCUAUGAAGUACCAAUGCUUUAGCCAUGUGAGCAGAAGAGAAAGAUGGAUUUCACUAGAAAGCUCCAAACAGGUGAACAGCUUCAAGAAGUUACUUGCUCACCACCAACAGGCAGUGCAGUUCCUCCUUAGACAGGAUUUCUUCUGUGGUUUUGAUACUGUGAGACUCCAGACUGAAAAAUAGGAGUGGGAGAGUAGUUUAGGAAAUGCUCUGGCUGGAUGUUCAGUGCUUGGUGUGCCCAUUUCUGCCAGAGCAACAUGGAACUGGAGGUGUCCAGCUGAAACAUUUGUGUAUGUCUGUGUACAGCUCCAGUGGGAAUUUGUG